CAGAGCCAAGCACGAGCUAGCGGAGAUCCUAUUGGCAUAUUGCCAUUGGGGAACGCCUCCUUUGUGAAGUGCUCUUGUGCAAUAACUCAAUUCGCCUUUGCACUCGUUCUAAACAACGCGUUUUUUAUUUUAUUUUGCAAAGGGUAAAGUCGACAAAACUUAGUCCACUCUGUUCAUAACAGAUUAUAUUGAGAACAAAUGUUUAAUCGAUGAGAAAAUGUGCAGAAUCUCGGCCAAAAUCCAUCUCGUUCCAUCUUCUUCCACUGCAAGCCAGUGAGCAGCUUCUUCUUCUACUUCGAUGGUAUAAUGGCGUAACAAUCAAAUGUACAGUCGGCCACCAACUGUGCGGGUGGGUAAUAAGGAUCCGUCCGCAAAAAUAAAACAUUUGGGUAAAAAUAAAAGAUCAAACUAACUACCAAAAAAAAGAAAGAAAAAAACAACAAAAUGAACCUGCUUUUCUGUAAAAAAAAAAAGUGACAUUUCCUAGCAACAAAAGUCCUUGUAGUGUUUCUGCAGUGAAGUCCUGGAGCCCCAAAAACGUCUCAGUUGCAGAUAUAAUGAUAUCCAGGUUUUGACUUCUUAGACAAUUGUGCUGUACAAUUAAUCACUGUGGCUAUAAAUGCCACAAAAAUCCACCUUCUUCACAAUGAGUGUAUCCAGAUCACCCGAUUGAUUUAAAACACUAGCAACUGAUUGCCAGGACUACCUGGCAUGAUGACGCCUUGCUGUCCCCAGUCUACCUGGCCGUGCUGCUGCUCCAGUGUCAACUGUUCUUCCUGCGGCUAUGGAACCCUGACCUGUUCACCGGACGUGCUACCUGUCCCAGACCUGCUGUUUUCAACUCUCUAGAGACAGCAGGAGCGGUAGAGAUACUCUUAUUGAUCGGCUAUGAAAAGGCAACUGACAUUUACUCCUGAGGUGCUGACUUGCUGCACCCUCGACAACUAAUGUGAUUAUUAUUAUUUGACCAUGCUGGUCAUUUAUGAACAUUUGAACAUCUUGGCCAUGUUCUGUUAUAAUCUCCACCCCACAUAACCAGGCUUCGGGAGUUUUUCCUAGCCACCGUGCUUCUACACCUGCAUUGCUUGCCGUUUGGGGUUUUAGGCUGGGUUUCUGUACAGCACUUUGAGAUAUCAGCUGAUGUAAGAAGGGCUAUAUAAAUACAUUUGAUUUGAUUUAAAAGAAACUGGUUUAUCCUGUCACCAAAAACGGUGUCUUGACACACGUAAUCCGCAAAUUGCCAUUCCCAUACCGCUUUUAGGACGAGAAGAUCCAAGGUGCAGACUACUUUGGCCACAAAUAUGUUGCUGGUCAGUGCAUGAAGGUCCUGCGUGAAGUCUUCAAGGAGCAGGAGUUCCUAGAGAAAGUGAAGUACUUUGUGAUGUGGUAGAGCAGACAUGUGGUCUCAGAUGUCAUAAGUCUUUGUGAAGACUAGAGGCAAUGGGAGGCCUAUGACAUCAUCGCUGAAGAUGUCCAAGGAAAAGUGUUCUUUGCUGGGGAGGAAACCAACAGAAACAUUCCUAUUUGAGUGGUGUCCGCGAGAACAAAACUGGGCCUGAAUAUACUUUAAAUGACCAAGAUAGAACUGCCAAAGGGGAAUGCGUUGCAAUCUACUGCAGAGAUAGCCUGCAAAGUUCUGUCAUACUUUCCAGGUCGAUGCCCAAACAGUUAGAGCUUCUAAUUUUAAAAAUGAAUCUCUCCAGAAAUAAGUCUCUCCCUGUUGCUGCCUUUUAUAGACCCCCCUCAGCUCCCAGCUGUGCCCUGGACACCAUAUGUGAAUUGAUUGCCCCCAGUCUAUCUUCAGAGUUCGUUCUGUUGGGUGACCUAAACUGGGAUAUGCUUAACACCUCGGCCGUCCUACAAUCUAAACUAGAUGCCCUCAAUCUCAAACAAAUUAUCAAGGAACCCGCCAGGUACAACCCUAAAUUCGUAAAAAUGGGAAACCUCAUAGAUAUUAUCCUGACCAACUUGCCCUCAAAAUACACCUCUGCUGUUUUCAAUCAGGAUCUCAGCGAACACUGCCUCAUUGCAUGCAUCCGUCAUGGCUCCGUGGUCAAAAGAACACCCCCCAUCACUGUCAAAGUCCCUAAAACACUUCUGUGAGCAAGCCUUUCUAAAUCGACCUGGCCCGGGUAUCCUGGGAGGAUAUUGACCUCAUCCCGUCAGUAGAGGAUGCCUGGUUGUUCUUUAAAAGUAAUUUCCUCAACAUCUUAAAUAAGCAUGUCCCAUUCAAAAAAUGUAGAAUAAGAACAGAUAUAGCACUUGGUUCAUUCCAGACCUGACUGCCAUUGACCAGCACUAAAACAACCUGUGGCGUACUGCACUAGCAUCGAAAAGUCCCAGCGAUAUGGAACCAAUACACACACUCAGUUAGGAAAGCAAAGGCUAGCUUUUUCAAACAGAAAUUUGCAUCUUGUAACUCUAACUCCAAAAGGUUUGGGACACUAUAAAGUCCAUGGAGAAUAAGAGCACUUCCUCCCAGCUGCCCACUGCACUGAGGCUAGGAAACACUGUCACCACCGAUAAAUCCAUGAUAAUCGAGAAUUUCAAAAAGCAUUUCUCUACGGCUGGCCAUGCAUUCCUCCUGGCUACCCCAACCCCAGCCAACAGCUCCGCACCCCCCGCAGCUACUUGCCCAAGACUCCCCUGCUUCUCCUUCACCCAAAUCCAGAUAGCAGAUGUUCUGAAAGAGCUGCAAAACCUAGACCCGUACAAAUCAGCUGGGCUAGACAAUCUGGACCCUCUCGUUCUAAAAUUAUCCACCGCCAUUGUCGCAACCCCUAUUACUAGUCUGUUCGACCUCUUUCGUAUUGCCCGAGAUUCCUAAAGAUUGGAAAGCUGCCGCGGUCAUCCCCCUCUUCAAAGGGGGUGACACCCUGGACCCAAACUGUUACAGACCUAUAUCCAUCCUGCCCUGCCUUUCUAAAGUCUUCGAAAGCCAAGUUAACAGAUCACUGACCAUUUCGAAUCCCACCGUACCUUUUCCACUGUGCACUCCGGUUUCCGAGCUGGUCAUGGGUGUACAUCAGCCACACUCAAGGUACUAAACGAUAUUAUAACCGCUGUCGAUAAAAGACAGUACUGUGCAGCCGUCUUCAUCAACCUGGCCAAGGCUUUCGACCCUGUCAAUCACCGUAAUUCUUAUUGGCAGACUCAACAGCCUUGGUUUCUCAAAUGACUGCCUCGCCUGGUUCUCCAACUACUUCUCAGAUAGAUUUGACACACAACUCUGAGGGCCUGUUGUCCGGACCUCUGGCAGUCUCUAUGGGGGUACCACAGGGUUCAACUCUCGGGCCGACUUCUCUGUAUAUAUCAAUGAUGUCGCUCUUGCAGCGGGUGAUUCCUUGAUCCACCUCUACGGAGACGACACCAUUCUGCAUACAUCUGGCCCUCCUUUGGACACUGUGUUAACAAACCUCCAAACGAGCUUCAAUGCCAUAAAACACUCCUUCUGUGGCCUCCAACUGCUUUUAAAUGAUGGUAAUACUAAGUGCAUGCUCUUCACCCAAUUGCUGCCCGCAACCUCCCUCCCAGCAUAACUACUCUGGACGGUUCUGACUUAGAAUAUGUAACUACAAAUACCUAGGUGUCUGGUUAGACUGUGAACUCUCCUUCCAGACUCAUAUUAAGCAUCUCCAAUAAAUAAAAAAAAUCUAGGAUUCACUUCCUACUUCGCAACAAAGCCUUCUUCACUAACGCUGCCAAACAUACCCUCGUAAAACGGACUAUUCUACCGAUUCUCAACUUCGGCGAUGUCAUUUACAAAAUAGCCUCCAACACUCUACUCAGCAAAUUGGAUGCAGUCUAUCACAGUGCCAUCCGUAAUGUCACCAAAGCCCCAUAUACCACCCACCACUGCGACCUGUAUGCUCUCGUUGGCUGGCCCUCGCUACAUAUUCGUCGCCAGACCCACUGGCUCCAGGUCAUCUAGAAGUCUUUGCUAAGUAAUGCUCCUCUUUAUCUCAGCUCACUGGUCACCAUAACACCCACCCAUAGCACAUGCUCCAGCAGGUAUAUCUCACUGGUCAUCCCCAAAGCCAACACCUUCUUUGGUCACCUUUCCUUCCAGUUCUCUGCUGCCAAUGACUGGAACAAAUUGCAAAAAUCACUGAAGUUGGAGACUUAUAUCUCCCUCACUAACUUUAAGCUUCAGCUAUCUGAGCAGUUUACUGAUCACUGCAGCUGUACACAGCCCAUCUGUAAAUAGCCCAUCCAACUACCUACCUCAUCCCCAUAUUGUUUUUAUUUACAUUUUUUUUGCUCUUUUGCACACCAGUAUUUCUACUUGCACAUCAUCAUCUGCACAUCUAUCACUCCAGUGUUAAUUUGCUAAAUUGUAAUUACUUCGCUUCUAUGGCCUAUUUUUUGCCUUACCUCCUUACUCCAUUCGCACACAUUGUAUAUAGAUUUUUCUAUUGUUGUCACAAUCGUCGUAAGGAACGGACCAAAAUGCAGCGUGGUAGGUGUUCAUGAUGAUUUUUUAAUAAAAGAAAUCACGACCGUGACACUAUACUGACACAAGCAACUAACAUAUACAAUCACCCACAACCCAAAAUGACAAAACAGGCUACCUAAAUAUGGCUCCCAAUCAGAGACAAUGACUAACACCUGCCUCUGAUUGAGAACCAUAUCAGGCCAAACACAGAAACAGACAAACUAGACAUCCAACAUAGAAUGCCCACUCAGAUCACACCCUGACCAAACAAAACAUAGAAACAUACAAAGCAAACUAUGGUCAGGGUGUGACAAUUGUGUUAUUGACUGUACUUUUGUUUAUCCCGUGUGUAACUCUGUGUUGUUGUUUAUUGUCACACUGCUUUGCUUUAUCUUGGCCAGGUCGCAGUUGUAAAUGAGAACUUGUUCUCAACAGGCCUACCUGGUUAAAUAAAGGUGAAAUAAAAAAUAAAUGUAAAAAUGUAAAAAAUAAAGAUGGUCCAUUUGGCUUUAAUUAUUGACUGGUUCUUGUAAAGACAGUUGUGU
ensembl:lncRNA